CCUUUUUGGAAUGGAGACAGCAGAGAGAAGCCUGACCAGACUUGGAACUGAAGCACCUUAAGGACAAAAGAAAGACUUGCUGAGCUCGCUCACAGACCUUCUAGAGCAGCGCUGGGCUCAUGGAUCUGGAGAUUAUGGACAGAAGAUAAUGUAGAUGUUAUAACCAGGCCAGCGUCCUGUGGUAAAGGGUGUCUUUAGAUCACUGUUUCGUCGGUAUAGGUAAAUGACAUGAAGAACAUCUUUAUAGGCAGGGGAUGAGAAUCUGAGAUGAAGAAAAGAGGCUCCCCUGAUGGACCAUUCUAAGCUACUGUCAGAAGCAGGAUCCAUAGAACUUAAGGACAUGAUUGCAACAAUUAUCAGACAUUGGCCUCUUAGGUCAUGGUGAUCUUUUAGUAUUUUGGCUUUCUGCUGUCCUUUCAUAAAGGAACCUCAUUUUUAGCUUCUAUUGAAGAUAUAAAAUCAUCUCAUAGUAUUUUCUCAUUACUAGGAGCUGUAAAUCACUUCAAAGCUGUCUUUCUCCUUGAUCAUUUGCAUAUCAAAGUAUUUCUCUUGAGUACGGUGAUCUCUCCCCCUGUGGUUUGCUGUGUACCAGUUCUCUCUGGAUCCUAGGGCCUAGGGAAGUGUGGAUUCCAAGUGACUGGUGUUUUUCUACAGUAGAGCUUUUUUGUUGGCUCUUACCUGGGAGGACAAUGGGGAAGGGCCAGGGCCAUCCUGUUCUUUGCUGGGUGUGACCUUUCCUGCUCUGCUUCAGGGUUCCAUGCUGAAACCACCUUUAGCCAUCAUCGAGUGGGACUCCUUUUUACAUUUUGGUGAUUUCAAUAUUGUUUUUGUAUGGGUUUUGAGUUUCAGUCCUAAAUCUGUGUGGUGUGACAGAGGGAACCUCUACACAAAGGCCUGCCAAUCUGCAACCUCUUCAUGCUGCCACUGGUUAGAUCAACAGUUCACUCUAGACACUGAACCUUGCCUGCAUGCGUGCUAGUGUCACCACCAACAUCAGUAUCACUGUGCACCAGCAUCAGCAUCACUGUGCACCAGCAUCAGCAUCACUGUGUAUCAGCAUCAGCAUCACUGUGCACCAGCAUCAGCAUCACUGUGCACCAGCAUCAGCAUCACUGUGUAUCAGCAUCAGCAUCACUGUGCACCAGCAUCAGCAUCACUGUGUACCAGCAUCAGCAUCACUGUGCACCAGCAUCAGCAUCACUGUGUACCAGCAUCAGCAUCACUGUGUACCAGCAUCAGCAUCACUGUGUAUCAGCAUCAGCAUCACUGUGCACCAGCAUCAGCAUCACUGUGCACCAGCAUCAGCAUCACUGUGUAUCAGCAUCAGCAUCACUGUGCACCAGCAUCAGCAUCACUGUGCACCAGCAUCAGCAUGACUGUGUACCAGCAUCAGCAUCACUGUGCACCAGCAUCAGUAUCACUGUGUACCAGCAUCAGCAUCACUGUGCACCAGCAUCAGUAUCACUGUGCACAGCUCAAUCUCCAUACGUCAAUCGCCAGAUCGGUCCAAAAGUGUCUUGUCUGUGUGUAUUUUCUCCCACUUUACCACUCCACUCUGGCUUAAGCCUUCCCACCUGCUACUGUGUACUGUGUGGUUGCUGGCUUUGGGAACUCCCAAACUUUCCCUCUGUAUUUCAUGUUUCUGUUGGCCUGACAAGUAUCUCUUUCUAAAAAAGUACUAGUUUAUUUUAUGUGAAUGAAUGUUUUGUCUGUGUAGCUGGUAUGUGCUUGGUGCCCAUGAAUCCCAGAAGAGGGUAUUGGAUCCUCUGGAAGUGGAGUUAGUUACAGAUGCUUGUGAGCCUUCAUGUGGGUUCUGGGAAUUGAACCCAGGUCUUUUGGAUCCCAGUGAUUUUAAUGGUCGAGCUAUCUUUCCAGCUCCUUCAGGGCCUGAGAGAGGUCCUAGAACCCCUAAAUUCCCCAGUGACUCCCCUUUGUUAUUCUGAGAAGUUUCAGCUUCAACUUGCCAUUCUGGGAAACACAGGACCCUAUAAUCCACCUGCCUUCCGGGAUGAACACAUGGCUUCACCCCUGAAGGCAGUGCUUAAGGCACUGCAUGAUUCUCCACUUCCAAACGUGAUCUGUAUUUUCUGCCCACCUACCUCUUUGCUUAGUCAUUCACUGUAUUAUUCCCUAUUCUGUGCUGAGCACGAGUGUGCUCUCUCUCUCUGUCUCCUUUCUUUUUGCUUUUUUUUUCUCAUCUUUCUUUUUUUUUUGUCAGUUUUAUGUAUCUUUGAAAAUUUUAUUGAAUGUAACCUUUUUAAGAGUCUUGGAUGCAAUGUCCUUUCUUUGAGCCUUGAAAUCUGAAUCAUCUCUUUAGUGUAUUGUGGCAAAUGACGGUGUUUCUCUGUGUAUUCCUAGCUGUCCUGGAACUCUUUUUGUAGAUCAGGCUGGCCUCGAACUCACAGAGAUUUGCCUGCCUCUGCCUCUCAAGUGCUGGGAUCAACAGCAUGUGCUACCACUGUCCAGGUCUUGAUUUCUUGAUUUCUUGAUUUAAAAGAAUGAGUCUCUGCAUAAGGCUUGCCUAGGCCAUCAGCUACAAGCUUCACUGGACAGUGUACAGACAGCAUAGAGUUGGCUUCAUACUAGGGAUUGAGCAUCUAUUGGUGGAAUAAAUACAUCAAUAUGUGGAA
rnacentral:lncRNA from 1 species